rnacentral:antisense_RNA from 1 species
GAUAGCCGUAGAUCGUCAAAGGACUUAGUGUCGGAUCAGUAACUACGCGCAGAUCACCAAUCACAGAAUCGUAUAAUCCGCCGAAGAACAUCGCUUUGGCAACCAACAGCAAUGCUCCCGCACCUAGGAAAAUUAGAUGAUGACCCAAGAUAAAGCCUAGUUUUUUGGGGUCGUUCCA